CUUUCUCUCUCUCCCAGCGUGUGCAGGACAGGAUGGGCGUGGAGCUCAAAAAAACUAGUGUCUGAUUUACAGUUAGGCGCUUCCCUUUAGUUAAUGCAAUAGACAUGGUUAGGGCUGGUAUGCACUAGCCUUCCUCCUCUCAUUGGGUGAUGAUAGCUGUGCUGGUAACAGUAACUCGCCUGGCGGGCACACAGGGACACAGGAGCCCCUCCAGGCUUUCUAAGAGCUGCUGGUAUGCUGUGUGAAACAUGUGAGUGAGAGAUAAGGAGCAAAUGCCAUGGAACAAAUUGGCCUGGGCUUGAAUUCAAAGCUCAGCGUUUCAAAUGUGGUAUGCGCUCUAUCAGCUGAUUCCUUUUACAAUAAGCGAUGACUACACAGUUUUCCUCAAAUACAAAAGAAACCACUCACUACAUUUCCACAUCUGGAUUUGGCCUAUUCCCCUGGGCCACUUCUCCAAAUUAAACCCAGGUCUGUCUGCCACCUGGUCUGUCCCAUGCCAAGCAAACCUCUGGGAAAAAGUGACUCAGACAAAAAGCGGAGGAGCGUUCAUUUUCGUCUUCGAGGGAAUUCCCUUCUGGAGUAGAGUAGAAGGAUCAAUAUCCACAGAUUAAAGACACCGCUCUGGUUCUACAAAGUAUGGUCAGGUUUCCAAACAGCCCCCCAUCAGAGGAACCGGACCCCUGGGAAACGCUCAGCUGCUGCUUUACUAGAAGCACCAUAGACCACAGGCAGAAAGGGGCUUCAAAGGCCAAGGAGCAAGAGACACUAACUAUACACACAACCUAAAGCAAGCAUGAUAGGCUAAUCCACAAGGAAGUACUUUUGACCAUGAGCCCAGCA